AAUUUGUGUGCUUAUAUAUUUCGCAUCAAAUUUUGGCGCCGUUGCCGGGGAUUAGCAACUUUGCUAAUCCUUUUAUUUUUGUUUUUGUUUAUGUUUAUAUUGGUGUUUGUGUAUUUUACUUUUGAUAUUUGAUUUAUUUUUUCUUUCUUUGAUUUUAGGUUCAAAUGGAGCCGAGGGAAAUUUAAAGGAAAGAUGCGUCCGGCUAAAGACGUUAAAUCAAGCGCUUAUUGGGAGGCAACCCAAGCAUUCAACGAAGGGAGACUUUGGAAUCACUAACCCAAUCAGCUUUGCAUUCUUCCACC
rnacentral:lncRNA from 1 species